rnacentral:tRNA from 1 species
UAGCUCAGUGGUAGGGCAUUUGACUGCAGAUCAAGAGGUCCCUGGAUCAACUCCAUG